UUAUUUACCUUGAACAUGUUGAACAUUCUUUGUACUAGAAUUAAGAUCUGAUGUCACACGACUUUGAGUAAAGAUUAGAACACUGCAAAACUGCUUGAUAAUUAUUGUUUGACAAAGACUUGAGCAAGGAAGUUUAAAAUAUAGUUAUAGUAUAUUAUCACAAAAUGGCGACAUACAGAUUGAACAAGGAACUUUUAGACAUUUCUAAAAAUCCUCCACCAGGUUGUUCAGUAGGUCCAAUUACCGAUGACACACAAACGUCCAUACGCUGGAGGGGUAUUUUUCGUACGAAUAAUGUUUCCAAGUAAUUAUCCGUUCAAACCCCCCCAAAGGUA